AGCGAACGCUGGCGGCAGGCUUAACACAUGCAAGUCGAGCGGGCCUUUCGGGGUCAGCGGCGGACGGGUGAGUAACGCGUGGGAACGUGCCCUCUGGUUCGGAAUAACUCAGGGAAACUUGAGCUAAUACCGGAUACGCCCUUUUGGGGAAAGGCUUGCUGCCGGAGGAUCGGCCCGCGUCUGAUUAGCUAGUUGGUGAGGUAACGGCUCACCAAGGCGACGAUCAGUAGCUGGUCUGAGAGGAUGAUCAGCCACACUGGGACUGAGACACGGCCCAGACUCCUACGGGAGGCAGCAGUGGGGAAUAUUGGACAAUGGGCGCAAGCCUGAUCCAGCCAUGCCGCGUGUGUGAUGAAGGCCUUAGGGUUGUAAAGCUCUUUUAUCCGGGACGAUAAUGACGGUACCGGAGGAAUAAGCCCCGGCUAACUUCGUG
rnacentral:rRNA from 1 species